AUGAACGCUGGCGGCGUGCCUAAUACAUGCAAGUCGCGCGAACGGACGAGAAGCUUGCUUCUCUGAUGUUAGCGGCGGACGGGUGAGUAACACGUGGAUAACCUACCUAUAAGACUGGGAUAACUUCGGGAAACCGUAGCUAAUACCGGAUAAUAUUUUGAACCGCAUGGUUCAAAAGUGAAAGACGGUCUUGCUGUCACUUAUAGAUGGAUCCGCGCUGCAUUAGCUAGUUGGUAAGGUAACGGCUUACCAAGGCAACGAUGCAUAGCCGACCUGAGAGGGUGAUCGGCCACACUGGAACUGAGACACGGUCCAGACUCCUACGGGAGGCAGCAGUAGGGAAUCUUCCGCAAAGGGCGAAAGCCUGACGGAGCAACGCCGCGUGAGUGAUGAAGGUCUUCGGAUCGUAAAACUCUGUUAUUAGGGAAGAACAUAUGUGUAAGUAACUGUGCACAUCUUGACGGUACCUAAUCAGAAAGCCACGGCUAACUACGUG
rnacentral:rRNA from 1 species